rnacentral:rRNA from 1 species
GAUGAACGCUAGCUACAGGCUUAACACAUGCAAGUCGAGGGGCAUCAGGAAGAAAGCUUGCUUUCUUUGCUGGCGACCGGCGCACGGGUGAGUAACACGUAUCCAACCUGCCCUUUACUCGGGGAUAGCCUUUCGAAAGAAAGAUUAAUACCCGAUAGCAUAAUGAUUCCGCAUGGUUUCAUUAUUAAAGGAUUCCGGUAAAGGAUGGGGAUGCGUUCCAUUAGGUUGUUGGUGAGGUAACGGCCCACCAAGCCUUCGAUGGAUAGGGGUUCUGAGAGGAAGGUCCCCCACAUUGGAACUGAGACACGGUCCAAACUCCUACGGGAGGCAGCAGUGAGGAAUACUGGUCAAUGGGCGCUAGCCUGAACCAGCCAAGUAGCGUGAAGGAUGAAGGCUCUAUGGGUCGUAAACUUCUUUUAUAUAAGAAUAAAGUGCAGUAUGUAUACUGUUUUGUAUGUAUUAUAUGAAUAAGGAUCGGCUAACUCCGUGCCAGCAGCCGCGGUAAUACGGAGGAUCCGAGCGUUAUCCGGAUUUAUUGGGUUUAAAGGGAGCGUAGGUGGACUGGUAAGUCAGUUGUGAAAGUUUGCGGCUCAACCGUAAAAUUGCAGUUGAUACUGUCAGUCUUGAGUACAGUAGAGGUGGGCGGAAUUCGUGGUGUAGCGGUGAAAUGCUUAGAUAUCACGAAGAACUCCGAUUGCGAAGGCAGCUCACUGGACUGCAACUGACACUGAUGCUCGAAAGUGUGGGUAUCAAACAGGAUUAGAUACCCUGGUAGUCCACACAGUAAACGAUGAAUACUCGCUGUUUGCGAUAUACAGUAAGCGGCCAAGCGAAAGCAUUAAGUAUUCCACCUGGGGAGUACGCCGGCAACGGUGAAACUCAAAGGAAUUGACGGGGGCCCGCACAAGCGGAGGAACAUGUGGUUUAAUUCGAUGAUACGCGAGGAACCUUACCCGGGCUUAAAUUGCAGUGGAAUGAUGUGGAAACAUGUCAGUGAGCAAUCACCGCUGUGAAGGUGCUGCAUGGUUGUCGUCAGCUCGUGCCGUGAGGUGUCGGCUUAAGUGCCAUAACGAGCGCAACCCUUAUCUUUAGUUACUAACAGGUUAUGCUGAGGACUCUAGAGAGACUGCCGUCGUAAGAUGUGAGGAAGGUGGGGAUGACGUCAAAUCAGCACGGCCCUUACGUCCGGGGCCACACACGUGUUACAAUGGGGGGUACAGAAGGCAGCUAGCGGGUGACCGUAUGCUAAUCCCAAAAUCCUCUCUCAGUUCGGAUCGAAGUCUGCAACCCGACUUCGUGAAGCUGGAUUCGCUAGUAAUCGCGCAUCAGCCACGGCGCGGUGAAUACGUUCCCGGGCCUUGUACACACCGCCCGUCAAGCCAUGGGAGCCGGGGGUACCUGAAGUACGUAACCGCAAGGAUCGUCCUAGGGUAAAACUGG